rnacentral:rRNA from 1 species
AUACGGAGGAUCCGAGCGUUAUCCGGAUUUAUUGGGUUUAAAGGGUGCGCAGGCGGCCAUUUAAGUCAGCGGUUAAAUCGUGGGGCUCAACCCCAUUCUGCCGUUGAUACUGGGUGGCUUGAUUGCGGUCGAGGUUGGCGGAAUUCGUUGUGUAGCGGUGAAAUGCAUAGAUAUGACGAAGAACACCGAUUGCGUAGGCAGCUGACCAGACCGCAAAUGACGCUCAUGCACGAAAGUGCGGGGAUCGAACAGGAUUAGAUACCCUGGUAGUCCGCACAGUAAACGGUGAAUACUUGUUUUCGGCGAUAUAAUGUCGGAGGCAAAGCGAAAGCGAUAAGUAUUCCACCUGGGGAGUACGCCGGCAACGGUGAAACUCAAAGGAAUUGACGGGG